rnacentral:rRNA from 1 species
UACGUCGGGGGCAAGCGUUGUCCGGAUUUAUUGGGCGUCAAGAGCGUGUAGGCGGCCAGGGAGGUCCGUUGUGAAAACUCGAGGCUCAACCUCGAGACGCCGAUGGAAACCCCCUGGCUAGAGUCCGGAAGAGGAGAAUGGAAUUCCUGGUGUAGCGGUGAAAUGCGCAGAUAUCAGGAAGAACACCCGUGGCUAAGGCGGUUCUCUAGUACGGUACUGACGCUGAGACGCGAAAGCGUGGGGAGCGAACAGG